GAUGAACGCUGGCGGCGUGCCUAAUACAUGCAAGUCGAGCGAACGGACGAGAAGCUUGCUUCUCUGAUGUUAGCGGCGGACGGGUGAGUAACACGUGGAUAACCUACCUAUAAGACUGGGAUAACUUCGGGAAACCGGAGCUAAUACCGGAUAAUAUUUUGAACCGCAUGGUUCAAAAGUGAAAGACGGUCUUGCUGUCACUUAUAGAUGGAUCCGCGCUGCAUUAGCUAGUUGGUAAGGUAACGGCUUACCAAGGCAACGAUGCAUAGCCGACCUGAGAGGGUGAUCGGCCACACUGGAACGGGGACACGGUCCAGACUCCUACGGGAGGCAGCAGUAGGGAAUCUUCCGCAAUGGGCGAAAGCCUGACGGAGCAACGCCGCGUGAGUGACGAAGGUCUUCGGAUCGUAAAACUCUGUUAUUAGGGAAGAACAUAUGUGUAAGUAACUGUGCACAUCUUGACGGUACCUAAUCAGAAAGCCACGGCUAACUACGUG
rnacentral:rRNA from 1 species